GAUGAACGCUAGCGGCAGGCUUAAUACAUGCAAGUCGAGGGGUAGCAUGGCUGUAGCAAUACAGCUGAUGGCGACCGGCAAACGGGUGCGGAACACGUACAGAACCUUCCUCGGAGCGGGGGAUAGCCCAGAGAAAUUUGGAUUAAUACCCCAUAGUAUAACGAAGUGGCAUCGCUUUGUUAUUAAAGAUUUAUCACUUUGAGAUGGCUGUGCGUCUGAUUAGGUAGUUGGUGAGGUAACGGCUCACCAAGCCGACGAUCAGUAACUGGUGUGAGGGCACGACCAGUCACACGCGCACUGAGACACGGGCCCGACUCCUACGGGAGGCAGCAGUAAGGAAUAUUGGUCAAUGGACGCAAGUCUGAACCAGCCAUGCCGCGUGGAGGAUGAAGGUCCUCUGGAUUGUAAACUUCUUUUAUCUGGGACGAAAAAAGGGAAUUCUUUCUCGUCUGACGGUACCAGAUGAAUAAGCACCGGCUAACUCCGUGCCAGCCGCCGCCGUAAGAC
rnacentral:rRNA from 1 species